UACGUAGGUAGCAAGCGUUAUCCGGAAUUAUUGGGCGUAAAGAGCGCGCAGGUGGUUGAUUAAGUCUGAUGUGAAAGCCCACGGCUUAACCGUGGAGGGUCAUUGGAAACUGGUCGACUUGAGUGCAGAAGAGGGAAGUGGAAUUCCAUGUGUAGCGGUGAAAUGCGUAGAGAUAUGGAGGAACACCAGUGGCGAAGGCGGCUUCCUGGUUUGUAACUGACACUGAGGCGCGAAAGCGUGGGGAGCAAACAGGAUUAGAUACCCCGGUA
rnacentral:rRNA from 1 species